rnacentral:rRNA from 1 species
UACGUAGGGGGCUAGCGUUGUCCGGAAUCAUUGGGCGUAAAGCGCGUGUAGGCGGUCCGGUAAGUCCGCUGUGAAAGUCGGGGGCUCAACCCUCGGAUGCCGGUGGAUACUGUCGGGCUUGAGUACGGAAGAGGCGAGUGGAAUUCCUGGUGUAGCGGUGAAAUGCGCAGAUAUCAGGAGGAACACCAAUUGCGAAGGCAGCUCGCUGGGACGUUACUGACGCUGAGAUGCGAAAGCGUGGGGAGCAAACAGG